AAUGAACGUUGGCGGCGUGGAUUAGGCAUGCAAGUCGUGCGGAAAGGCUCCUUAGGGAGUACUCGAGCGGCGUAAGGGAGAGUAACGCGUGGAUAUCUACCCCCUGGACUGGGAUAGCGGCGGGAAACUGCCGGUAAUACCAGAUAAUGUCUGCGGACCAAAGGUGUGAUUCCGCCGGGGGAUGAGUUCGCGUCCUAUUAGCUAGUUGGUAGGGUAAUGGCCUACCAAGGCAAAGAUGGGUACCGGGUGUGAGAGCAUGGCCCGGCUCACUGGGACUGGGACCCUGCCCAGACACCUACGGGUGGCUGCAGUCGAGAAUCUUCGGCAAUGGGCGCAAGCCUGACCGAGCGACGCCGCGUGCGGGAUGAAGGCCUUCGGGUUGUAAACCGCUGUCAGAGGGGAGGAAAUGCGUGAGAGUUCUCUCUCACGUUUGACCUAUCCUCAGAGGAAGUACGGGCUAAGUUCGUGCCAGCAGCCGCCGUAAAAC
rnacentral:rRNA from 1 species